rnacentral:rRNA from 1 species
UCCUACGGGAGGCAGCAGUGGGGAAUCUUGGACAAUGGGGGAAACCCUGAUCCAGCAAUGCCGCGUGUGGGAUGAAGGCCCUCGGAUUGUAAACCACUUUUGGCAGGAAAGAAAUCGCCUGUGCUAAUACCACGGGCGGAUGACGGUACCUGCAGAAUAAGCACCGGCUAACUACGUGCCAGCAGCCGCGGUAAUACGUAGGGUGCGAGCGUUAAUCGGAAUUACUGGGCGUAAAGCGUGCGUAGGCGGUUUUGUAAGACAGAUGUGAAAUCCCCGGGCUCAACCUGGGAACUGCAUUUGUGACUGCAAGACUAGAGUGUGUCAGAGGGAGGUGGAAUUCCGCGUGUAGCAGUGAAAUGCGUAGAGAUGCGGAAGAACACCGAUGGCGAAGGCAGCCUCCUGGGAUAACACUGACGCUCAGGCACGAAAGCGUGGGGAGCAAACAGGAUUAGAUACCCUGGUAGUCCACGCCCUAAACGAUGUCAACUAGUUGUUGGGGAUUCAUUUCCUUAGUAACGUAGCUAACGCGUGAAGUUGACCGCCUGGGGAGUACGGCCGCAAGGUUAAAACUCAAAUGAAUUGACGGA